UAAAGUUUUCUUAUCCCCAAGCUGAAGGUGGCAGUUGGAAUGGUUGCUCUCUCUAUGUCGUCUCUGCUUCAAUGUCCUUCCAAGCUUCUCUUCCCUUUCCACCACCCUUCCUCCAAUUCCCUUCUCCUCUAUUCCACUCCAAGAUCCCUCCAUCCUAGUUGCCAAACGGUCCGAAUCCUCUGCACCAAGAGAACCGGCAAGCAGAUAUACCCUUCAGAGAAGAAGAAACUGAGAUUGAAGCAAAAGAAACCUCUAUCCUCCCCCACCACCAAGUUCGAAGGAAUCUAGAGGUUCUCAAAGCUUGCUGUUCCUGUCCAAAAUGAACCAGGAAAAGACUUUCUCCAAAUCCAUAUUGGCUUGCUCCAAAAAAUCUCUAAAGCCAUCAAGUUUCCAGUAGCUUCCAUGUUGCCAGAAGAAGCUUUCUCAGUGGUUCGGAAGUCUUUUGAUGCAAGAAAGAUACUGAAGGAGGCCAAGUUUGUGUAUACUGUGGAUAUGGAUGUUAGUAAGCUGCCUUGAACCUCGUACGUGGGACUUCAUUAACCGGUUGGAGCAUAAGUUGGGCUUAUAGAACACAUCCCUAGUGAAAAAAAUUAGUAGUGGUUUGACCAGUCU